GCGAGGUGACGAUAAAAUUCAAUGGUCUGUCAAUCCACUGAUAAAUUUAUUUAUUGAUGUUAAACAUUGAAUCCCGACAGGUUCUGAUCGC